ensembl:snoRNA Gm24787 predicted gene, 24787
UUGCAGCCAAUUAAGCCAAGCAGGUUCUUUUCUUCAUGGGAACAAAGGAUGCAAACAGUGGCUUCUGCAGUAGUGUAUGCAGCAUAUGGCUUGUAUGGGAUUUCCUACAGUCUUGGAGACAACU